GCAUAACAACAUUACCGCCACCUACCGUGCUGGAAUAAGAGCCGCAAGUGAAUCCGGCUCUUUUCUUGAAAAUAUACAUUUGAGGCUUCCGGCAAUCAUUGACUGCUCUCAAAAAGAGAUAUUACUAUCUUCUCCAGCAUGUGGCGAGUCAUCUGACAUCAUUCCCAGAUCCUCCAAGUCACUGAAGGAGGCAGGGUUCAUGAGGCUUAGAGUAGCUUCUAGUGAUUCUGAUGGCUUGUCAAGAUCUGGCUCCAUUGAUGGCAUUCCACAGGCGAGGCGGAAGGACAGCGAAGACAGCACACAGUCACCCACAGAGGAAGUGAGAGGUACUGCGAAAAAAAAUAAAAAAAAUAACAAUAUUUAAGGAUAUUCUGCUAAUUAAAAAAAAUCCUACGCUUUUUUUUUUACAUUCCUGUUUAAAAAAAUCAUAAAAUGGUUCGUAAUGAGCUGAAAGGUCCCGUAUGUAGUUUUGUGUGCAACCCAACCAAAUGUACAUAGAAAUGUGAGUUAUAGAUCUGUCUUUCUCAUUGUAAGCAAGAAUGAAAAGUGCUAUAUCAGUGUUAUGCAUGCUAUUUCUAUGCCUUCCAUCCUUAAGUUUAGCUUUUUAAUCUUUUUAUUUAAGGUUUUGUAAACUAAAUUCAUACAGCUAAAAAUAUUAUAUUCAUGAUCAUUGAAAAUAUAUUUCACAGUGGUUCAUAUUGUACAGCCAUUAUUUAAAUUGCUUUUUUUGUCACAUACUGAAAGUAGGAGAACAUUACAGAAUUUUACCAACCAGGUAAUGGCUGAGCGAUUUCUCCACAUUGUACUUUAAAUUUUCUAUGUCAAAAAUAAAACUUGUAAAGUUUUUUUUUUAUAGCUGUUUAUAAAUCUACUGUACAUACACAGAGAGGAUAACAGAUACUGAUUGAAGUAGAGACUCCAAAGCUUUCUAUGGACUGUUUUCAAGCCUACCAUUUUUGUUUAACUGGAUUUUAUUUAGCAGGUUCUGGUGCUGGAGGAGGAUCUUCAGGUGCUCAGGGUCAGACACAGACUGUCCACACUCCUCCAGGUCAGAGGGGGCAGCACUGAUAAUGGAUGCUAUCUGAGAAGGAGAGGUAGAAGCUAAGAUCAGCAAAGGUGGGGUGGCUUAGCAUGUGAGGUCAAGACAAUAAUAUGGCAUGUGUUGACAUAAACUGUUAUCUAAUAAUGACAAAAUUAGGUAUGAUCAGUGAACUGUUAGUUAUAGACUUGUCAUGUACCAGUUAAUUACCUGGGAGAGAUCUGGCACAGAUAGCAGUUGUUCCAGUCUGAGGACCAAGCCUCCUACAAGGGCCUGCAGUGCUGUGUCAUACUUGGAGCCAUAAUGUGUAUGGAACUCCUCCUACAGGGAAGCAAAGAGUGACAGUGUCUGAGAGAAGCUACCUGAAUGAUGAGCCGCUAAAAUCAAGUCAGACGAAAGGGAGAGAGAGAAAGUAUGUCAAACCUGGAAGAAGUGCUUCCUCUCAUAAGGGUUUUUCAGCAGGGUUUGGACCAGCGCCACAAAGUUAGCCUGUGACUCCUCCACUUCCAUAUCUUGCUGCUGUAACACAGAAUGUGAAUAAUUUGAUACAAGAAUAACUUAUCUGGUUAUCUGAAUUGAGCUAUUAAAAUGAGCAGCUGUUACAUCCUUUGAAUGUAUGCAGGAGAGAGAAAAAUAUUCUUACCCCUGCGGAUGCACUGAUGUUAAUCUUUCCCAGGAGACGUUGGAUGGCCUGAGGGUUAGGUGGACAAUCGUUGCGGAACAUCUCCAAGAUCAUCUAAUUAAUGGGAAUCAUGGCGAUAUUGAGUAAACUUGCAACUUCCCUGCCCUCCUUACACACAUAUAGUUUCUACUGGCAUUGUUAUAAAUGUGUCAAUCAAAGCAUAAUCAACUACUCCUCCCAUGACCACACAUCAUGUCACUCACCCUUGCUCUCAGGCCCAGGAUGAGUUGAGCCCUCUGUUUGAAACUCAGCAACUUUGGAACGGCUUCAGUCACCACAGUUACAAAUUCCUCGACCUUCCCAUAGUGCAUCACAUUGCGUUGAUUCACCACAUGCCAUACAAAUGAAUACAUCAGCCGCAGGGGAGAAACCAAUAGUCGCAAAGAGGAGAGAGGAAGAGGGGGGCCUAUGGAAAGAAGAGGGACCCAAUAAAUAUUUAGGCUGUACUGGUUGUUGCAUAACAAAAAAUCAUAUUCGUCUACAACAUCAAGGCUAUACAAAAUAUUAUGAUAAGACUAUACCACAGAUGAGAGUUGUAAUCUUUGGUUUUACUAUAUUUAGCAGCAAUAGCUAGCUACAUUUAGAAAGAAAGCCAACAUGAUAUUAACAUGAAACGAAUGUAGUUAGCUAUGUUACUUUACAGUUCACUUGGGGCUGCCUGUAUGUUGAAUUUGAGCUACUCUAGCUUACGUUAGCCAGGGUUAAUAGCAUAGACUGUAACGUUACUUUUAGAAACAACCCCUACCCGUACUGGCAGCCGCUUUGACGCGUUUGUCCAUGAUGGAAAAGUUGUUAUCAAAAGUAUGUAUGGAUAAUUAACAGCAUACAACUGUAUAUCAACAUGCAAUAAAAUAAA